UUUUCGUGGUGUCAGGGAGCCAGUCUUUGUUCGGACUGAACAAAAACCAAAGGUGCGAACAAAGACUGGCUUCCAGACACCAUGAAAAU
rnacentral:pre_miRNA from 1 species